UACGUAGGGUGCAAGCGUUUAAUCGGAAUUACUGGGCGUAAAGCGUGCGCAGGCGGCUUUGCAAGACAGAUGUGAAAUCCCCGGGCUCAACCUGGGAACUGCAUUUGUGACUGCAUGGCUAGAGUACGGUAGAGGGGGGAUGGAAUUCCGCGUGUAGCAGUGAAAUGCGUAGAUAUGCGGAGGAACACCGAUGGCGAAGGCAAUCCCCUGGACCUGUACUGACGCUCAUGCACGAAAGCGUGGGGAGCAAACAGG
rnacentral:rRNA from 1 species